rnacentral:rRNA from 1 species
UACGAAGGGGCUAGCGUUGCUCGGAAUCACUGGGCGUAAAGGUGCGUAGGCGGGUCUUUAAGUCAGGGGUGAAAUCCUGGAGCUCAACUCCAGAACUGCCUUUGAUACUGAAGAUCUUGAGUUCGGGAGAGGUGAGUGGAACUGCGAGUGUAGAGGUGAAAUUCGUAGAUAUUCGCAAGAACACCAGUGGCGAAGGCGCUCACUGGCCCGAUACUGACGCUGAGGCACGAAAGCGUGGGGAGCAAACAGGG